CUGUAGCUCAGUUGGAUAGAGCAACGGCCUUCUAAGCCGUGGGUCGCAGGUUCGAAUCCUGUCAG
rnacentral:tRNA from 1 species